CGCUGUCGCUUUAAUAUUUCCUCCCUAUUUCGUGCAUACCGCUCCCUUUCCAUACGAUUCUUAAUCUCAUUACUGCCUGAGUAGAUGAAGAAUAGAUCAUUAUAUAUACAAAUAUAUUGUGUGGAGAAUGAAGUUCAUCUUUAUUAAUCUCAUUACUGCCUGAGUACAUGAAGAAUAGAUCAUUUAUAUAUAGCAAUAUAUAUAAUGAAGAAUGAAGUUCAUCUUUAUUACCUUGUGAUACACCCAGCUGUGUUUGUGCCCCACUGAUCUCAGCAGAGGCAAUUUUCUUCUGUUUGUAGGCCUCACGUCGUCUCUUAUUAAUCUCAUCCUUAUUUUGUGCAUACCGCUCUCUAUCCCUCUGCCUUUUUACUUCUUUAGGGUCUGCACAUAAUGUCACAAUUCAGCAGUUGGGGUACAAAAACUGAAAUUGGGUGGUUGUGUAAUGCUCAUCACCCAAGGAUUGGUUGUUGCUUAUAUCCUGGAACGGGGUGCGCGCCCUGUUGGGACUGGUUGGGGCCAUAUGAAGUCCUUCAACCCUGUGAAUGUCAAGAAUGGUAUCACACAAUUGUAACUGAAGGAAUACUAUUACCACAACUCAGAUAGAGUAGUGUUUUAUGUUCAACUCCAUCCUACUGUUUAACAUGCAAGCUGGGUUAAUACUCAGUCGCCAAUUGAAUUCCUUUUGCAUUAAUAUUCAUGUAGGUGUAUCUCAGAGUGACUUUAUGUGUGUUCAUAUUUGGAUCUGAGAAUUGAACCUGUUCAUAUGCAGCUUGAUGAGGCAUUUAGGUGAGGUCAGUACAAUGCUCACUUGACAAGGAUUCAUGAAACGACGUCAGGUUUAGGUCAGGUUGAGAAAGGAGCACGGCAGCAACAUGUAAAAGCCUUUCGAAGUUGUGAAUGAGAGAAGAGCAAGCACCUAUGUCGGCGAGGAGAUCCUCGUCGCGGCCGUGGCAGGGCGUCUGUGCAGCUGCACCUGUCUUGGGAACAGCACGUCGUCGUGGCCGUCGUCGAGUGACUCGGCGACCUCGUCGUCGCGGCCGUAGUCGGAUGCCUCGGCGGCUGCGCAGGGCAGCGACGUCGCGGCCGUCGUCGGUGCGGCCGUCGUCGGAUGCCUCGGCGGCUGCGCAGGGCAGCGACGUCGCGGCCGUUGUCGGGUGCCUCAGCGGCUGCGCAGGGGCAUGUAAUCUGGACGUCGAGCCUGGAUUGAUUCCCGCAAAUUGAGCUUAGUUGUUUCCAUGUUGUUUUCCGUGUAUGACUCUCCGUGUAUUUUGGGCGUGGGUUGUUUACUGAUUAUUUUUUUGAGAAAAGGACGUGGGUUUACCUGUA